ACCGGCAGCUCAAGUGGUGGCCAUUAUUAUUGGGCCUAAAGCGUUCGUAGCCGGUUUGAUAAGUCUCUGGUGAAAUCCCGCAGCUUAACUGUGGGACUUGCUGGAGAUACUAUCAGACUUGAGGUCGGGAGAGGUUAGGGGUACUCCCAGGGUAGGGGUGACUUGCUAGAAGCUUGGGAUGAGUACCUGGGGCGAGGGGGCCGAACUGGAACAAACCUGAUGGUGAGUCACGUGAGUCAGGGCCGCGAACCG
rnacentral:rRNA from 1 species